rnacentral:misc_RNA from 1 species
AAAUAAUGUUUAUAAUAUUGUAUGUACUCUGAAGUUAGCUUGAUCAUGGAUUAUUCAUCUCCUCGUGUAAUUCUGUAUUCAUCGAGCAUACUUUAAUUAUUGGUUAGAUUAUUCAUUAUAGCCGUACGACAGGAUUUUAAAAUAUCACUAGAUCUGUCGUACGGACAGGUGGAGCCUACUUAAAUAAUUGAAUUUUGCUAAUGGAGUGCACCUUCAAAUAUGUUUACACCAAAACAACCUUAUUUUUAUCGGACGAAUAAACAGUUUUCACUGCUCAAAUUAGUCGACCUUUAUGAUAAAGACUCUUUCAUUCGUGAAUAUCUGUUAGAUAAUGUGUUCGUUUGUAUUUUUAUGUACAUACUAUUCUACUUUGCCAUUUGCUACGCUCACAAGGUUAUCAAGCAAAUCGAGGACAAAAAUGAAGAAAUGAUCGCCAAAGUGAAUUUAAAUCGAACGAAAGUAAAUGAUAUGAUAGCAAUAAAAAAUCAUCGCAUGGAAUAUGAAGAAGUUGUUAUGAAUACGAAAAAAGCACAAAAAAUAACUACGAAACAUUUGGACAGCGAGAUAAAGCGAUUAAGUACAAAACUCAUGAAAACACAGGGCAAAUUAAACGAGCUUGAAAACUUUGUAGCAAAGUGGAAGUAUUGGAAAAGUUGUACGGAGCGAACGAAGAAAAUGUCAAAUUGUAAUGGUGAAUAUCAUCAAGACGAAAUUGAUCCUGAAAUAGAGAUCAAUGACGUUAAGAUAUUGGACCCGUCUUUUCCACCGUCGAACCCGCCAGAGCCACCACCGAGGAAGUUUGGAGUCUUUGCUCGACCACCCACAAUGUCAGGUGGUUCGAAAAUAGGGUUCAAAUAGUGGAGUCAUGAACGAAAAUUCCUAUACAAAUUCAUUUUACCGAGAUUCAAAAUCAUCAAGAUACCAAAGAGGUCAGGAAAAUCGUGGGCGAACAAUUUUUUUAGGCUUUAAGAAUUUGCAGAGAUGAGAGAAUCGGUCUACGAAACAAAACCUCAACAAUUGGACACGUCACUUACUUUAUAAAAAUAUAUCAAAAAUAGCUUAAUUUAAUGAUUUGCGAUCAAACAGAAGUUCAAAUUUCAACAGAAAAAAUUAGAAACGUAUGAAUAAA